CGCGUAGGCGGUUUUUUAAGUCAGAUGUGAAAGCCCGGGGCUUAACCCCGGAAGUGCAUUUGAAACUGAAAGACUUGAGUAUGGGAGAGGGAAGUGGAAUUCCUGGUGUAGAGGUGAAAUUCGUAGAUAUCAGGAGGAACACCGGUGGCGAAGGCGACUUCCUGGACCAAUACUGACGCUGAGGCGCGAAGGCGUGGGUAGCAAACA
rnacentral:rRNA from 1 species